GACGAACGCUGGCGGCGUGCUUAACACAUGCAAGUCGAACGGAAAGGCCCUGCUUUUGUGGGGUGCUCGAGUGGCGAACGGGUGAGUAACACGUGAGUAACCUGCCCUUGACUUUGGGAUAACUUCAGGAAACUGGGGCUAAUACCGGCUAGGAGCUCCUGCUGCAUGGUGGGGGUUGGAAAGUUUCGGCGGUUGGGGAUGGACUCGCGGCUUAUCAGCUUGUUGGUGGGGUAGUGGCUUACCAAGGCUUUGACGGGUAGCCGGCCUGAGAGGGUGACCGGCCACAUUGGGACUGAGAUACGGCCCAGACUCCUACGGGAGGCAGCAGUGGGGAAUAUUGCACAAUGGGCGGAAGCCUGAUGCAGCAACGCCGCGUGCGGGAUGACGGCCUUCGGGUUGUAAACCGCUUUCGCCUGUAACGAAGCGUGAGUGACGGUAAUGGGUAAAGAAGCACCGGCUAGCUACGUG
rnacentral:rRNA from 1 species